GACGAACGCUGGCGGCGUGCCUAAUACAUGCAAGUCGAGCGAGACUCUUCGGAGUCUAGCGGCGGACGGGUGAGUAACACGUGGGCAACCUGCCUGUAAGACUGGGAUAACACCGGGAAACCGGUGCUAAUACCGGAUAAUCCUUUUCCUCUCAUGAGGAAAAGCUGAAAGUCGGUUUCGGCUGACACUUACAGAUGGGCUCGCGGCGCAUUACCUAGUUGGUGAGGUAACGGCUCACCAAGGCGACGAUGCGUAGCCGACCUGAGAGGGUGAUCGGCCACACUGGGACUGAGACACGGCCCAGACUCCUACGGGAGGCAGCAGGAGGGAAUCUUCCACAAUGGACGAAAGUCUGAUGGAGCAACGCCGCGUGAGCGAUGAAGGCCUUCGGGUCGUAAAGCUCUGUUGUUAGGGAAGAACAAGUACCGGAGUAACUGCCGGUACCUUGACGGUACCUAACCAGAAAGCCACGGCUAACUACGUGCCAGCAGCCGCCGUAACAC
rnacentral:rRNA from 1 species